rnacentral:rRNA from 1 species
AAGCGGUGGAUUAUGUUGUUUAAUUCGACGCAACGCGAAGAACCUUACCAGGCCUUGACAUACUCGGCAAAGCUCUAGAGAUAGAGUGGAGGUUAUCCGGGAUACAGGUGGUGCAUGGUUGUCGUCAGCUCGUGUCGUGAGAUGUUGGGUUAAGUCCCGCAACGAGCGCAACCCUUGUCUUUAGUUACCAUCAUUCAGUUGGGGACUCUAGAGAGACUGCCGGUGAUAAACCGGAGGAAGGUGGGGAUGACGUCAAAUCAUCAUGCCCCUUAUGGCCUGGGCUACAAACGUAAUACAAUGGCGUAUACAAAGGGAUGCGAAAGGGCGACCUGGAGCAAAACUCACAAAGUACGUCUCAGUUCAGAUUGGAGUCUGCAACUCGACUCCAUGAAGGCGGAAUCGCUAGUAAUCGCGGAUCAGCAUGCCGCGGUGAAUACGUUCUCGGGGUUU